rnacentral:rRNA from 1 species
AUACAUAGGGGGCAAGCGUUGUUCGGAAUCACUGGGCGUAAAGCGCACGUAGGCUGCUUGGUAAGUCAGGGGUGAAAGCCCGCGGCUCAACCGGGGAACUGCGUUCGAUACUGCGAGGCUUGAGUCCUGGAGAGGGUGGCGGAAUUCCGGGUGUAGGAGUGAAAUCCGUAGAUAUCCGGAGGAACACCGGUGGCAAAGGCGGCCACCUGGACAGGUACUGACGCUGAGGCGCGAAAGCGUGGGGAGCAAACAGGAUUAGAUACCCUGGUAGUCCACGCCGUAAACGAUGGAUGCUAGGUGUCGGGGAGCGAUCCUCGGUGCCGGAGUUAACGCAUUAAGCAUCCCACCUGGGGAGUACGGUCGCAAGGCUGAAACUCAAAUGAAUUGGCGGGG